rnacentral:rRNA from 1 species
UACAGAGGGUGCAAGCGUUGUUCGGAAUUAUUGGGCGUAAAGAGCUCGUAGGCGGCUUGUUGCGUCAGCUGUGAAAACCCGCAGCUCAACUGUGGGCUUGCAGCUGAUACGGGCAGACUGGAGUACUGCAGGGGAGACUGGAAUUCCUGGUGUAGCGGUGGAAUGCGCAGAUAUCAGGAGGAACACCGGUGGCGAAGGCGGGUCUCUGGGCAGUAACUGACGCUGAGGAGCGAAAGCGUGGGGAGCGAACAGG